UACGUAGGAUGCAAGCGUUGUCCGGAAUUAUUGGGCGUAAAGAGCGAGCAGGCGGUUUGGAAAGUUGGACGUGAAAUUUUAGGGCUUAACCCUAAAGGGUCGUCCAAAACUCCCAGACUAGAGUGCAGGAGAGGAAAGCGGAAUUCCCGGUGUAGUGGUGAAAUGCGUAGAUAUCGAGAGGAACACCAGUGGCGAAGGCGAGUCCCUGGACAACACCUGACACUGAGGCACGAAAGCUAGGGGAGCAAACAGG
rnacentral:rRNA from 1 species